UACGUAGGGUGCGAGCGUUAAUCGGAAUUAUUGGGCGUAAAGAGCUCGUAGGCGGUGUGUCGCGUCGGCCGUGAAAACCUGCAGCUUAACUGUGGGCUUGCGGUCGAUACGGGCAUCACUGGAGUUCGGCAGGGGAGACUGGAAUUCCUGGUGUAGCGGUGAAAUGCGCAGAUAUCAGGAGGAACACCGGUGGCGAAGGCGGGUCUCUGGGCCGAUACUGACGCUGAGGAGCGAAAGCGUGGGGAGCGAACAGG
rnacentral:rRNA from 1 species